ACAGUUGUGAGUCUGUCCACUGGCGUCCAGGGGAGGAGAGAAUAGGAGACAAAUACGAUUCAAAGAGAGCAGGAAGUAGAUGUGAACAGUGGAAUCAUCCUACCUGCUCAGAGGUGGUGUGGUGGGAUGGAGAAGUGAGGAGAGUCAAAGGGGUCCUGGGGUGGUCCAGGGGGGUGGGGGUCCGAGUCCGGGCAGGGUGGGGGUCCGAGUCCGGGCUAGAGGGUGGUCCAGGAGGAAAGGAGGAAGGAUGGAGUGACAAGGAGCAGGGAGACGGGGACGCUGAAGGGAAGAAGAAGAAGAACAAACGCUG